UGAGUUGUCAGCACCAGUCCACUUCCCUCCCCACAUCAAGGAGGAAUGCAUCCUGAGCAGCUGACCCUGGAGCCACACAGAAUGUAGGUACAGAAGGCACCCUUGGCCACAUCCUCCCCACUUUAGACCUCUGGGAUUUCUUUUGGAGUACCUGAAGGCUUCGUGAAUUGCUCUAAGCGAAUUGCUAUUUUGAGCACCCAGCCCAGUCCUUUUCUCCACCCCUCCCAACCUAAACCCAGACAGUUCAUCCACUCGUUGCCCCACGCCCAGUCCCACUCUCACACUCACUCUGAAGAAGCAGCAGUUUCCACAGCAGGACACGGGACAGCAGUUCCAUGGCGCCUGCGGGGGACGUGCUUUGUCUUACUCAGCUCUAACUCUCCAGAAAAACAGCCGACCCCCUCUCCCUGCCAGCACCCGCUGACAUCACGGAGCCCUGGGCCGGGUCUGGGCCCCGCCCACUGCGCUGCUCAACUGCUUGCCCUCCCCCAUCUUGACUGGCCUAUAAUGCUGCAAACACCCUGUCCGGGCCCAGUUGGUGGGAGGGUCUGAGUAGAGGCUCGGCCAGUCACUGGUCAGUCUUGGGGAGGAGCAGUAGCUCAGUCCUGGGACAGAAGACGAGGCCUGGAUGUGAAGAUUCCUGAGGCCAAGUGGGUGCCAAGCAUCUGGUAAACUUCCUGAGCUUCG
ensembl:antisense Mxra8os matrix-remodelling associated 8, opposite strand